CCUACGGGUGGCAGCAGUGAGGAAUAUUGGUCAAUGGGCGCGAGCCUGAACCAGCCAAGUAGCGUGAAGGAUGAAGGCCCUACGGGUUGUAAACUUCGUGUAUAAAGGAAUAAAGUGAGGCACGUGUGCCUUUUUGUAUGUACGUUAUGAAUAAGGAUCGGCUAACUCCGUGCCAGCAGCCGCGGUAAUACGGAGGAUCCGAGCGUUAUCCGGAUUUAUUGGGUUUAAAGGGAGCGUAGCUGGGUUGUUAAGUCAGUUGUGAAAGUUUUCGGCUCCACCGUAAAAUUGCAAUUGAUACUGGCAGUCUUGAGUACCGUUGCGGUAGGCGUACUUCGUGGUGUAGCGGUGCACUGCUUAGAUCUCACG
rnacentral:rRNA from 1 species